AUCCUGGAAUUCGUCGCGCGCAGCCGAUGCGCGCUACCUUUGCCCUUAGACAUUCGUUAUUUUCAGCAUAGAUUGCGUUUGAUCUUUUCUUCAAUGGAAACGUGUUACUUGGAGAUUUAGAAAUUUCUCGGUGGUCAAAGAAAAGACUGAAUGCUAAAACCACGUGGAACUAGAAUCUAAGUUAUAACAGUCUGAUCUUCGUCGUGGUAUAUAUUGAUGUGUCAGAGAGACGCACUUCGAGUACAACGCCAAGCUUUGUCAGAGCCUCUGAGGAGUAGUUCAAAUCUACACUUAUAAAGAGGAAGCACACAUCACCUAUCGACGCGGAGUGGUUUUCGACGAAUCGAAUAGGAAGCGCGUAACAGCUGGCCAGAAGGCAGGAGUCAACGUCCGCGGGGUCGUAGUUUUCGAAAGCAGCAACGAUCCGAUCGAUGUUUUUGUAAUCGCACGCAUGGCCAGGCAUGUACGUAUAAUACAUGUUACUCGCACGAUAGACUCUCGAGGCUGGGAAGUUGCGUACUCGACGUGUUCCUUGACGUGUUCCUCGGCGCGAUGAGGAGGAACGCAAAACUGGUGGAAGGGCCGUGCAA